UAGGGAAUCUUGCGCAAUGGGCGAAAGCCUGACGCAGCAACGCCGCGUGCGGGACGAAGGCCUUCGGGUUGUAAACCGCUUUCAGCAGGGACGAAGCUGACGGUACCUGCAGAAGAAGCCCCGGCCAACUACGUGCCAGCAGCCGCGGUAACACGUAGGGGGCGAGCGUUGUCCGGAUUUAUUGGGCGUAAAGAGCUAGUAGGCGGUUUCGUAAGUCGGGUGUGAAAACUCCAGGCUCAACCUGGAGACGCCACCCGAUACUGCGAUGACUAGAGUCCGGUAGGGGAGCGUGGAAUUCCUGGUGUAGCGGUGAAAUGCGCAGAUAUCAGGAGGAACACCGACGGCGAAGGCAGCGCUCUGGGCCGGUACUGACGCUGAGGAGCGAAAGCGUGGGGAGCGAACAG
rnacentral:rRNA from 1 species